rnacentral:rRNA from 1 species
UACGGAGGGUGCAAACGUUGCUCGGAAUCAUUGGGCGUAAAGCGCACGUAGGCGGCCUGUUAAGUCGGAUGUGAAAGCCCCGGGCUCAACCCGGGAAGUGCAUACGAAACUGGCAGGCUUGAAUAUGGAAGAGGGUCGCGGAAUUCCCGGUGUAGAGGUGAAAUUCGUAGAUAUCGGGAGGAACACCAGUGGCGAAGGCGGCGACCUGGGCCAAUAUUGACGCUGAGGCACGAAAGCGUGGGGAGCAAACAGG